rnacentral:misc_RNA from 1 species
AUUGUUGUUUCCUGGGCGGGUUCGCUCGCCACCAGGACCACCAAAUAAACCUUUUUUAUGCAGUUGCAAUCAGCGUCAGUACAAACAAUGUAAAUCAUUUACAACUUUCAACAACGGAUCUCUUGGUUCUGGCAUCGAUGAAGAACGCAGCGAAAUGCGAUACGUAGUGUGAAUUGCAGAAUUCAGUGAAUCAUCGAAUCUUUGAACGCACAUUGCGCCCUUUGGUAUUCCAAAGGGCAUGCCUGUUCGAGCGUCAUUUGUACCCUCAAGCUUUGCUUGGUGUUGGGCGUUUUUGUCUUUGGUCGCCCAAAGACUCGCCUUAAAGUGAUUGGCAGCCGGCCUUUCUGGUUUCGCAGCGCAGCACAUUUUUGCGCUUGCCAUCAGCAAAACGGCAAUCCAUCAAGCCUCCUUCUCACGUUUGACCUCGGAUCAGGUAGGGAUACCCGCUGAACUUAAGCAUAUCAAUAAGCGGAGGAAAAGAAACCAACAGGGAUUGCCCUAGUAACGGCGAGUGAAGCGGCAACAGCUCAAUUUGAAAUCUGGCUCU